GAUGAACGCUUGCGACGUGCCUAAUACAUGCAAGUCGAGCGAACAGACGAGGAGCUUGCUCCUCUGACGUUAGCGGCGGACGGGUGAGUAACACGUGGAUAACCUACCUAUAAGACUGGGAUAACUUCGGGAAACCGGAGCUAAUACCGGAUAAUAUAUUGAACCGCAUGGUUCAUUAGUGAAAGACGGUUUUGCUGUCACUUAUAGAUGGAUCCGCGCCGCAUUAGCUAGUUGGUAAGUUAACGGCUUACCAAGGCGACGAUGCAUAGCCGACCUGAGAGGGUGAUCGGACACACUGGAACUGAGACACGGUCCAGACUCCUACGGGAGGCAGCAGUAGGGAAUCUUCCACAAUGGGCGAAAGCCUGACGGAGCAACGCCGCGUGAGUGAUGAAGGUCUUCGGAUCGUAAAACUCUGUUAUUAGGGAAGAACAAAUGUGUAAGUAACUAUGCACGUCUUGACGGUACCUAAUCAGAAAGCCACGGCUAACUACGUG
rnacentral:rRNA from 1 species